rnacentral:lncRNA from 1 species
GGAGGCCAACUACCUCCGACCGGCCUGGCUGGGAUCCAUUCUGGAAAGCCCCGCUACGGCUACUGGGAGCGGCGGGGAGAAGACUAAAGAGAGGCUGAGCAAUCAGGAGAGCAGCCGGAGAUGACCUCUACCUAACUCAGAAAAAUCCCGAUAGUAGUCUCCUGUGCCCCGCAUCAGCCCUAUUCGAGGCUGCGGAGUGGGAAGAGAAAAGCGAGAUAUAGAAUAGAAGUUGCAAGAUAGGCUGGGCUCCUUCGCCGGGACUCCCACGUUCGGAGUCUUCACAGGCCUCUAGUCCCGCCUGAACUGCAACUGAACGGGCGUCGUGUAGGCUGCGGCCCCAGAGCGGGCUCCAGAGGAGCAACCUGACUCCGGCCUGAUUUGUAAACACUAUCCUCCGCCUGAGGCGUCAAUAGUUUCAGGAUUUAAAGCAGAAAAGCAUUGGGCGCCCCUGUGGUUGAGGGAUGGUUGUUCCGGAGCAAGGCCCUUGUCCACAGACGUCUUUUCCCACAGACAGCAGGUCACAGCUACCCUAAGGGUACUCUCCGCGACGCACGUGGUCCGCCAGGAGUCCCAACUCCCCGGGCUGGCCCUAGGGUUGCCUCCCCGAAACAUUUCCGCUCUCUCCAGAAGAGCCCCGCCUCCUCCCUCCC